rnacentral:rRNA from 1 species
GAUGAACGCUGGCGGCGUGCCUAAUACAUGCAAGUCGAGCGAACAGACGAGGAGCUUGCUCCUCUGACGUUAGCGGCGGACGGGUGAGUAACACGUGGAUAACCUACCUAUAAGACUGGGAUAAUUUCGGGAAACCGGAGCUAAUACCGGAUAAUAUAUUGAACCGCAUGGUUCAAUAGUGAAAGACGGUUUUGCUGUCACUUAUAGAUGGAUCCGCGCCGCAUUAGCUAGUUGGUAAGGUAACGGCUUAACAAGGCAACGAUGCGUAGCCGACCUGAGAGGGUGAUCGGCCACACUGGAACUGAGACACGGUCCAGACUCCUACGGGAGGCAGCAGUAGGGAAUCUUCCGCAAUGGGCGAAAGCCUGACGGAGCAACGCCGCGUGAGUGAUGAAGGUCUUCGGAUCGUAAAACUCUGUUAUUAGGGAAGAACACAUGUGUAAGUAACUAUGCACGUCUUGACGGUACCUAAUCAGAAAGCAACGGCUAACUACGUG